GAAGGCGUCGGGACGGUUCCCUGGGAGGGCGGGGAGGCGUCGGGACAGUUCCCUGAGGGGGGGAGGCGACGGGCCGGAGGGGGAAGGCAUUGGGAUGGUUCCUGGAAGGCGAACACCCGGCGAGCAAGUGUGCCGGGCAUGAGGGCCGAGGUGUCUUCAAAGUGCUCCCGCCUGUCCCCUUUUCCGACACCUGAGAGCGUCUUGUUCCGGGACUUCGCAGGAAGCCCCUGGGGCUGCGGGCCGGGCGGGCACAGCUGGCGUCCCCCCUUCCCCUGUGCUCCUGGCAAGGUUGAAAAGAAGGAAUUCUCUGACGGAGACAGGUGGAAACGGGUUCCCUCACUUUUUAUUUUUCGACUCACCCAGACAACACGUUCACCUUAUCAAAGACUCUUGGCAUCGAGUUUGAAGUUUCAGAGCGUCCGAACUCAAUUUUUGAGGUGGCAUCGGAAAACAGCGUCGCAGCAUUUUAGUGAACGUCUUCCCACGAUCCAGGAAAGUCAGCAGGAACUCUUCCCAUCAUCCUCCACUCCAAAUUUACCUUGUUCUUCAAACUGGUCAAACCUCAAGUAAAACCUUUCCCAAAUUACGAAAUAUUUUAAAAAGUGAAAUUAUGCCCGCGACUGUUAAUGAGGGAAAGGUCUACUUGUGUGCUUUCGUUAUGACUCCUCUCAGAUCAUCUAAAAAGCCCUGUAUUCUCUCCACAUUCUGUUUCCUUUAAGUCCUGUAACAGCAGGUGGCAGGUAUUCUUUGGAGAAGGCGUGGUUCCUCUGAGGCCAGCCAGAGCCCCUGCCAGCCCCGCAGAGCGUAGCCUGAGCUUCCCCGGCGGGCAAGCACUGGGGAGUUGGGAUUAGGGCCACACCGGGCCCACCGCGUUCAGAGCUGGUCACAUGACACUUGGGGGUCCUGUGUUCGGCUCCACGAGGCCACAUUUCUACCCAGCGGCUGUCGAUCCAGGGAACCUCCGGAGAGGCUGAGGGGCAGGGUGCACACUGGCAGAGGUGCGUGUAAAGGGGCGGCCGGUGUCCAGCAUGAGGAGACUCACCCAUGGGGGCUGCGCAGCUUCCCUGAUGCUCGAAGCCCCAUCGAGGGACAGAGCCACAUGUGAGGUUUGGUGUCGGAGAGCUCAGGUCAGGGCAGAAGGGAAAUACAGGGAAGCCAACCUCGGAUCAAAAUGAAGAAACCCCUUCUGACCUGGAGAAUGCCCCAGCCCAGUGGGCCGCCUCACGACAAGGUCAUCCUAGCGACUCCUGGUGUCCGUAGGUCCCUUUAAAGUUUGCAACACAUUCCUACAGGUAUUACCGCAGUCGAGAGGGAUUACUCUGGUUUCAGUGAAGAUAAGAGAGCGAUGCUGAAAAAUGAAAUGACUUUCCCAAAGUCCAUGUAGGCUCAUCCUAGAGUCUUAGGGGAGCUGAAGGAUGUCCUCCAAACAGAGAAGGUGAGCAGACAGUUUGAGAUUGAGGGCAGCCCUGUCUGCCUCCCGGCCCAGGGCUCACAGCUCACAACCCACUUGGGGUUCCUCUUGGUCUGGGGAACCCACGGGGUCACCCCUCACGCCUCUUCUCCCUCCUCGUACACAGCAGUGCGACAUGGUAGCCGAGGCUUCCGCCAGCUGGCUCCCAACCUCAGCUCUACCACUGAUCCAGCUGUGGAGGCCUGAGUGGGUUUCUUACCUUCUUCUAGCCUCAGCCACAUCAGGGGCCUGCCCCGGGGGACAGUCAUCCUCGUGCUGCCAGGAUUCAAUGAGAUGAUGCACGUGCAUCUUGAUCCCAAAUCAACACCAGUGGUCUCCAGCCUGACUCUACCUCUACCAUCACCUUGUCCAGGCCUGUUAUUGCUCCCCCGGAGCCACAACAGCCUCUGCACUAGUCUUCCCACAACCAUUCACACCCUGUCUCCUCUGUUGUCCAUAUUACAGGAAGAGCGACCCUCCCAAAAUGCAAAUCUCAUCAUGUCACUCCCUGGCUGAAAACCCUUUAGUGGUUUCCUUUGAUUUUAAGAUAAAGGCCAAAAUAUUUUUUUAAAAGAUUUUAUUUAUUUAUUCAUGAGUGACACAGAGAGACAGAGAGGCAGAGAAAUAGGCAGAGGGAGAAGCAGGCUCCAGGCAGGAAGCCCAACGUGGGACUCAAUCCUGGAACUCCAGGACCGCGCCCUGGGCCGAAGGCAGGAGCUAAACCACUGAGCCAUCCAGGGAUCCCCCAAAGUCCAAAAUAUAUAACAAAGCCCACGGCACCUCCCAGGCUGGCCCCCAGGCAACCUCUUUGGGUCUGGCCACAGUCGACUUCUUCCUCACACCACACAGACUCUUUUUCACCUUGGGGCCUAGAAAUGUCCUAUCACUCCCUCAGGAAAUCACACUGCUCCACCCUACCCUACAUGCUCUCAGAUCCCCAUUUGUCUCUCCUUUCGUGGCACGGUGCCCGCUUACAGUUGUAUAUUUGUGUGAUUAUUCACCACGCUCUGUCUCUAUAAACUCUAAGGUCUUGAAGGUGUUGCUCACUGCUGUUCCCAACAUCCAGCGUGGGGCUUGCCUUUCGGCAGGUGCUCAAAGAAUAUGCAUUGAAUGAAUAAAUGGCCUCAAAGGGGACA
ensembl:lncRNA